rnacentral:rRNA from 1 species
CAUGCAGUCGAGCGGACAGAAGGGAGCUUGCACCCGGAUGUUAGCGGCGGACGGGUGAGUAACACGUGGGUAACCUGCCUGUAAGACUGGGAUAACUCCGGGAAACCGGAGCUAAUACCGGAUAGUUCCUUGAACCGCAUGGUUCAAGGAUGAAAGACGGUUUCGGCUGUCACUUACAGAUGGACCCGCGGCGCAUUAGCUAGUUGGUGAGGUAACGGCUCACCAAGGCGACGAUGCGUAGCCGACCUGAGAGGGUGAUCGGCCACACUGGGACUGAGACACGGCCCAGACUCCUACGGGAGGCAGCAGUAGGGAAUCUUCCGCAAUGGACGAAAGUCUGACGGAGCAACGCCGCGUGAGUGAUGAAGGUUUUCGGAUCGUAAAGCUCUGUUGUUAGGGAAGAACAAGUGCAAGAGUAACUGCUUGCACCUUGACGGUACCUAACCAGAAAGCCACGGCUAACUACGUGCCAGCAGCCGCGGUAAUACGUAGGUGGCAAGCGUUGUCCGGAAUUAUUGGGCGUAAAGGGCUCGCAGGCGGUUUCUUAAGUCUGAUGUGAAAGCCCCCGGCUCAACCGGGGAGGGUCAUUGGAAACUGGGAAACUUGAGUGCAGAAGAGGAGAGUGGAAUUCCACGUGUAGCGGUGAAAUGCGUAGAGAUGUGGAGGAACACCAGUGGCGAAGGCGACUCUCUGGUCUGUAACUGACGCUGAGGAGCGAAAGCGUGGGGAGCGAACAGG